rnacentral:lncRNA from 1 species
UUUAGGGGCGGUGUUUACAGACUGACUCCUCUCUGCAGCCGCCUUGCUUUCAGCUGGGUUUUUCAGCCUCUGCAGUUUUCCAGCUAGACGCGGAAAAACGAAAACACAGCUUGGGAAGCCCCCACCAGCGGAUACCCUGUGCCAAUUCACCUUGGCAGUGGCCAGGCUGCUGGUGUACACAGCAGCCAAGGCCAGCUCCACAUUCUACCCCCCCUCCCAUUUCACUGGAACCGGGAGCCCUGCGUUCAGAGGAAGGGCCUCUGCUCUACGGACUGCCAAAGUCGGCCGGGUUCCUCCGCUCCAAAAAUGGUGAGACAGGACUGCAUCUUGUCCACCGAGAAGCCACAAGCAG